AGUGAACGCUGGCGGUAGGCCUAACACAUGCAAGUCGAACGGCAGCACAGUAAGAGCUUGCUCUUACGGGUGGCGAGUGGCGGACGUGUGAGGAAUACAUCGGAAUCUACUUUUUCGUGGGGGAUAACGUAGGGAAACUUACGCUAAUACCGCAUACGACCUACGGGUGAAAGCAGGGGAUCUUCGGACCUUUCGCGAUUGAAUGAGCCGAUGUCGGAUUAGCUAGUUGGCGGGGUAAAGGCCCACCAAGGCGACGAUCCGUAGCUGGUCUGAGAGGAUGAUCAGCCACACUGGAACUGAGACACGGUCCAGACUCCUACGGGAGGAAGCAGUGGGGAAUAUUGGACAAUGGGCGCAAGCCUGAUCCAGCCAUACCGCGUGGGUGAAGAAGGCCUUCGGGUUGUAAAGCCCUUUUGUUGGGAAAGAAAAGCAGCAGGUUAAUACCCCGCUGUUCUGACGGUACCCAAAGAAUAAGCACCGGCUAACUUCGUG
rnacentral:rRNA from 1 species